rnacentral:rRNA from 1 species
AUGGCAGGGUUCAGUCCUCCAGUGCCGCAGCAGGACAGCAACUGGGAGAUCAGGGUGGCGGUGAUGCUGAGCCUCCUCCUCCAGGUGCUCAUCCUCUUCCUCGGCCACGUGCGCAAGCGGUCCUCCUCUCCGCCGGCCCGCUUCGCAAUCUGGUCGUCCUACCUCCUCGCCGACUGGGUCGCCGACCUCGCCCUAGGCCUCAUCCUCAACAACAUGGGCAACAUCGGCGGCAACCCCUCCCAGUCCCACUCCCAGCGAAUCUCCGGCGUCAAGCGCGGCCCUGCCACCGCCUCCGCCGACAGCAGCGGCAGCAGUCCAAUCAUCUUCGCCUUCUGGACGCCGUUCCUUCUCGUGCACCUCGGCGGGCAGGACAGCCUGACCGCGCUCUCCAUCCAGGACAACGACUUCUGGCUGCGCAACCUCACCGGCUUCUUCUUUCAGCUCAUCUCCGCCGGUGUCGUCUUCUUCUGCUCCGUUGACGGAAACCACGUGAUCCCGGCCACCCUCCUCAUCUUCGUGGUCGGUAUCAUCAAGUACGGGGAGCGCAUCUACUCGCUCUACUCCGGCAGCGUCGACGGUGUCCUUGCCGAGAUAAUCGGGGACCCCUAUCCCGGCCCCAACUAUGAGAAGUUCAUGUCUCUGUACAGCUCCAAGGAGAGGGCCGGCCUACCCGUCGAGUUAGUCGUCCAUCGUCCCUCCCGAGUCUCCCGGCCGCCGGCCCCGGCCCCGGUGGAACAUGCGCGUGGCUCCAUGGCGCCAAAGAUGGAUCCCAGCGUGGAGGUGAAGGCGUACAAGUUCUUCUGCAUCUUCCGGCAGCUGUGCUUUGACGUCAAACCCAGCUACAAGGAGCGCAUGCUGACCAAGGCAUAUUUCCUGAGCUCCGACAUGACGAAUUCGCCGGCCACGGCGUUCAAGGUCAUCGAGCUGGAGCUCAACUUCAUGUACGACAUGGUACACACCAAGGAGCCCAUCGCCCACAGCAAGGCCGGCUGCAUCCUCCGCUUUGUCGCCUCCUCCUGCCUUGUUUCCUCCCUCCUCAUCUUCUUCUUCCACAGCGACAAGGGCGGCAUCAGCCGUGUCGACGUCGCCAUCACCUACGCGCUGCUCCUCGGCGGGAUGGCGCUCGACGCGGCCGCGCUCGCCAUGCUGCUCGUGUCCACCUGGACGCUGGUGCUCCUCGGGAACUCCCGGUGGCUGGGGUGGCUUGCAAGGGCGGGCAGGUUCCUGCGGCCACAACAGCGGCGCCGGCGGCUGGCCAUGGUCGCCGAGAAGCUGCACGUCAGGGAGAUGUUCCAUGAUUUUUUCUUCGUCCGGCGCGAGCCGGUCGACGGCCCCAUCACCCGCGAGGUUGUUUUCGAUGUGCUCAAGAAGACAGCUAGAAUGGAAACACCGAGCACCUACCGCGGCGAGGGAGUCCUUCACAAGCUUCACAUGGAGAUCACCGGCAUUCUGACGGCGGCGACACCCGCAUGGAGCAAGAAGGAGGCGGAGAAAAAGUUCGACCUGCUUGUCGGCAGCGUGAAGAGGGAGUUCGUCGAGUCGCUGCUGAUUUGGCACAUCGCGACGGACCUGUGCCGCCACCCGUACCAGGCCACCGCGCGGACCAAGGCGGUGGAGAACAUGAGGACGGUCUCCCAGACCUUGUCCGAGUACAUGCUGUACCUGCUGAUCAAGCAGCCGAAGAUACUCCUGGCGUCGGCGGGCAUCGGGCUGAAGCAGUACCAGGACACCUGCGCGGAGGCGAAGCGGUUCUUCGAGACCGCCGCGGCGUGGGAGCCCGACCAUGCCGGCGCGCGGAGGAUGCUGCUCGGCCUGAGCACGGCCUGGGCGCCGUCGGAGGUGAAGGGCAGCCGCUCCAAGUCGGUGCUGUUCGACGGCGUGAUCCUGGCCAAGCAGCUGAGGGAUCUGGGAGAUGAUCUCAUGUGGGAGGUGGUGGCGAGUGUGUGGGGGGAGAUGCUGACGUACGCGGCGGGCAAGUGCAAGGGGAGCACGCACGUGCAGCAGCUCAGCCGCGGGGGCGAGCUCAUCACCAUCGUCUGGUUCCUCAUGGCGCACAUGGGGUUCAGCGACGAGUACAAGAAGGAUGAGCAGGAUGAAGAGCACGUUCCCCGGCUCAUCGUUCAUAACUAG